GUGUGUGGCCCUUUGGUCUCUCUGAUAUACUCUGCACUUUGUCUGCAAAGCAUACAGUGAGACAGAGACAGUGUUUCUCGGUAGGUGUAUUGGUCUUUAUCAUAGGGCAGGUGCUACUGAGACUGUACCAAAGACAGUGAUAGACAGACGAGAGAAACAGUCAACAGAUGCAACAUACAGGCCACAGGAUGGUCCUAAGUUGACCCAAGAGGAAAACAAAGCAGUGGACAUCGCAUUGCAAAGUUUGCAGUGAGAUUCUGUAGUCAGGUGGUUCGCUCACUUCUAUGUGAAGUUACAGUGAAACCCAGUGGUCAGAUAAGUCACAUUUCUGGUUUUGCUUUCCACUGCAAGUACAUUUUAUUAUUCUUCCCACAUAGAAUAAAAUGUAUAAAUGCUCAUCUGAUUCGCUGAUGAAAAUUUUGUCAAGUCAGGUCUUAAGGAACCCCAAUGACUCGGCAUCACUAGGUAACCCAUUCCAUAUCCUCACCACUCUGUGUAAAGACUUGACUCUUUCCCUAUGUCUUAAGUUAGUCUCCAUUUCAUUUCCAACUGUGUCUACUAGUCAUGGUUCCUGAGCUGUGUGAGAAAUAGGCCUACACAAUAAUAAUAAUACAUUUAAUAUAUCAGAAAACAAAUAUGUAAAUUACAGAUGUUUAAAUAUAUAAGACUCCUCCACCUCUCAGCGAAGCUUACUUUGUCCAAUUAAUGAUGCAUUUCAAAUCCUCUUUCUUUGAGGUUAGAAUAAUUAUGGGGUUUUUUUAGGUAAAUUGGAGGCACCAGGAACUCUUCCUUCAUCCCCGAGUCUGGCCUUGCGCACCUCGAGUGUUUCCAUAGUGACAGCUCAGCCGUGGGAAGCCCCCGUCCCCGCCCCCCGUGGCCUGCGUCUCCGUCCACCCCGAGAAGCUCCGGUCAGCCAGGCCAGGGCACGAGCUUCAAAGGUCUGACCGAGACGCUGCUGGGGGACUUUGAGGAGCGAAGGAUCAAAAUGAAACAGGAGGAGGGAACGUAUGCUGGUAUUGAACCAAGUGAUGAGGUAAACAAUGAGGUGCUGCAAGCCACGCGUGUGACACGACACAAGAACAGCCGUGCCCUUCGCUGGGAGGCAGGCGUGUACACCAACGAAGCAGAGAAGUGACAUGAAGCACCCAGCGACCUGUAUUGAAACGUGUGCGAUUCACACUUCCUACCUGCAAAUGAUGUUGAUCUCUACAGUGCCCCCUACCUGCUGCUGGAAGAAACUGCUAUAACACUACUCUGAAAACAAGUGUUAAUGUAUUUUUAUGCUAUUGUUGUAAAGUAACGUUAACCUUACUGUCACUGGUCCCUCUUUUCUUUUGUUAUCCCUUGCUUGUAUUUUACGCUUCAACUUGCAAUAUUAGCAAUAUAGCUAAAGAGUUCCUGCUGCUGCUUCCUGGUACCUAAUCACUUCCUGUGUUGGAGUUCAUACUGCGGACAGUGUGACCUACAGCAAAAGGUACCAGGAUGCAGCAGUUCAUCUAUGCCGUUGAAAUAACAUGAAUGAAAAAGCGUAUUACAGAAUAAAAA